ACAGAGAAAGGGAGCAUUGUUGGCAUGGAGCCCCAUGCAGGCUUAAUCUCACAAAUUGUGACAUCAUUACCUGAGCCAAAAUCAAGAGUUGGAUGUUUAACUGACUGAGACAGCCAGGAACACCUGUCCUUUACUAUUUUUAAGAGUGCUCGUUAUGACAGCACUUCCUAACCACUCUGUCAUGGGUGGAAGAGCCUCUGGUGACCUUGGAAAGCACAGCCGUCCUUCAGGAAGUUUCCUGUGGAGCCUGGGAUGCCUGGGAUACCCACUCUGAGCAAGAAAGACCAUUGAAGGCUCAGAUCCCCUAGAAGACUCACUCCUCCUGUGAUAGCACAACCUCAGCUGGUUCUGUCAGAGCUUCUUGUCAAAGGUAUAUCCUGAUAUUUCUUGCUCCUCCAUUUCUUUGCUCUCAUUCAUCUUCCCCACGAUGUGUUCCUGAGACGAAGCAACUCAACUUCCAGUUGUCCCUGAACUCCCUGUACUUCCACACUUCAGUCCUCCCUGGUUUGAUUCCCAGCACUGUGGCAUUUAAACUUUGGAAGGAAUCAACUAAAUGGUUUUCACACUGGGAUCUCAUUAUAGCAAGAACCUUGGUUUGUGCUCAGGGGCAUGUGCUCAGCUAAAGAACCUCAUUUCCCAACCUAGCUUGCAGCUAGUACCAUCGAUGUGACAAAGGUCUGGCUCAUGAGAAGUAAACUGAAGGUUUCUGGGUAAGCUCUACUUCCUUAAUAUAAGCACCACUCCUUCUUUCUUCCUCUUUUACUUCCUCCUGUUGCUUAGAAUGCAGAAAUCGUGAAUGGAGAUAAUGCGGCCAUUGGGAGAGAAUGAGAACAAGGUUCUCAGCCUAAGAAUGGCAGAGCAGAAAGCUAGAGGUGCCUGGGUCCAGAUAAUCUAUGUGGAGUUCUCCUCUAUCUUCUCUGAGUUUUAUGUUAUAUAAGGGAAAUAAAAAUUCCUGCCUAAUUAAGGCACAGCUCCUUGGAAUUUGGGUUGCCAAACCCAAUCCCAGGUGGAUAAUGCUGAGUUGAGAGAAAAAAAGAUCUUGGACCUCAUGUGUUCAGAUUAGUAUGUUCAAUUGCCCUGGCCUCAGAGAAUCCCAAAUUCCAUACCUGAGGCAUCCCAUGGCUUCCUGUAUGAAGGCCUGGUGAAGGGAAAGGACACUGAACUGGGAAUUUGGAGAAGUGGGUUUCAAGUCUAUUUCUGCCAUUCACUAUUUGUGUAAUUUCAGACAAGUUGGAUAAUCUAUUUGGGGCUCAGUUUCCCUUAUUGUAAAGACAAAAAGUUUGAGUACAUCUCAAAGUUUUCUUUCAUAGCUUAAGUCACAGUUUCUCUCCCUUGACUGAGUGUACACUGGGAGUGCAUCUGUGUAGAGGCCCACUUUAGGGCAGUAGUUACAGGUCCGGAGGUUGUGGGUGGGACAAGUGUGAGAAACAGCUUUGCUUUUAAGGUUAUUUCUUGCUAAGUAUAAUCCAGUUGGCUAAGGAUUUUCUUCAUAAAAAAUUCUUUGUAUUUUUGUGGGUUGAUUACUGGCUUAAUGUAAUUAAACACAAUUACAAAAUUAGUACAAAUCUAUGUAAUCAGGUACUAACAAUAUGUAAUUAAGUAACUACAUCUUCUAAUUAGAGACUUGAGUAUGCAGUGCCACUUUAGAGUCCUUAUUCUACUUUGUACAAAAGUUAUGCCAAAUCUACACACAGAUCGUUUCAGACCUUGGUCUUACCCCAUAGUUGAAUGGGUGUUGUUUAUUCCUAUAAAUUAUUAACAACACAUCCCCCCCCCCUGUUUAGGUAGUAAUAACCUUGUAUUUUAUUUUCAAAUCAAAUAUUUUUUUAAACUAACUAUGACCCCAAAAUCAAUCUCAGAUUACACAAAAUAGAAGUUGUCUUAGAAAGAAUGAUUUGAAUUCUGGAAAGGGAACUCCAGAAUAGCAAAACAUGAAUAACAUUAUAGUCACAUUAUCAGUCUUUCGAAUUAGAGUUUGAUGAAUUUUCCAGGUUUUUUGUAUGCAUUUCAUUUGCAUCCAAAUAUUUGAUACAUUAUAUUUUUAUCUUUUGACAAAGUAAAAUGAGAGUUCCAUGAUGAUGGAAAUGCUCCAGAUUUGCGAGAUCCCUAGGUUUUUUCAAAUGGGUUUGCAACAACUGUCCUCCAGAGAGCACCAAGAAAACUUCAACGGUAAUCUCUUGCCCCUUUUCCAUUCUAAAGAACAGCAUGCUCUAUGAUUUGGGUGUAGCUGCCAUCUUGGUGGAAGAGAAAACCAUUUGAGAUUUAUUGAAGCCAUAUGGCUUCUAAUGACCCCCUUCCUUACAACCUGAGGGCAUCCCCUAAAAGGUAGAUGAAAUGUCCUAGGCUGGGAGUUAACAUACUUAAUUUUGGUGCCAAUUCUAUCAUUGGCCAGUGAUUUUUCUGUUUCCUCACCCAGGAUAUGUAUUUAAAAAGCGGUACCGUUUGUAUAUUUAGUAAGGUCAAAUGGACAGAGUGUAUGGAAAAGGGCAAAGAAAAAUAUAAAGCAUAUCUUUGUGUUAGGUUUUAUUCUCUAUUAUUAUUUGGGUGUUUGGGAGAUUUUUUUCCUUUAAUUUUCUCUAUCUAGGUCACUACUCCUUUUACUCAUGCAGGUGUAGCUUUUGAAAACUGGUAUUUGAUGAAACACCUCAUUUUACAGAUGAACCUGAAGCCCAGAAAGGUCAAGCAGUUUGCCUAAGGUUCAAGGUUAGCUAGCAACAGGGCUAUUUUUAGAAUGCAAUUUUCUUGACUUCCAAUUGAGUGCCCUUUCUAAUCACACUAGCGUGGUCCUUGAGGACCUAAUGGAGUUGGGGACACCAUCUACCCUUAUUGAUAUUUCUCCCAGAGGAGAGCAGCCCCUUUUUCACAAUGACACUUUUUCCUGGAGGAGAUCUGGAUGUUGAUGCUUCUCAGUAGCUCCUUUUCCUUGAGGAAAGAUAGGAGGAGGCAAGCACUGCACUUGGUGAACUAAAACAAAGCUUUCUUGGAUGAAUUAUGAAAAUUUGGGAUGGAGAUUAAAAACACAGGGUGAAUUGUCUUUGCCUUAUGCAGUGUGUGGGGUGGUGGUCUUGGACUUGAGAUGAAAUAAAGUGGGGAGGUUAUUAGGGUGGAAUCAUUGGUGGUUGUUGGUGAGAGAGAGACAUUAGUGUCAAGUAAUUUUUUUACCCUAUGAAGGGAGAUGGUUUGGUGGCUUUGGUUAGAACAAGCUGGGUGGUAAAGCCAGAACCAUGGUCUAUAAGUACUUAGGUAUCAUGUGCUUGCAAAUAUGCUUUUUUUAUGUCUUCAGCUUUUAGUGGUUACCAUUCGGUAACUCUUAACUGAAAUGGUUGGGUUUGUCAAUCUGCUUCAGGAACUUUGUCUUACAAUUGGUUCAAAAAGUGCUUUUCCUUGGGAUUUGAUAAGGAUGAUAAAAGGAUUUAUUUUGGAUGACUGAAUCCACUCUGUGGGAUGGAUUUAUAAUUUCCAGAGGAAUUAACUUAAGUAUAACUUAUAGGCCAACUAUAAUCAUGAUACAGUGUGAUUUCUUUUUAUUACCUUAUCUCUCCUUGUUAAGAAAUGAAAAAUAAAUUCUAGACAUUUUUAGUUUCUAUUCAGCUUCUCUUCUUUUAAUACUCCGUUUUUUUGGUUUCUUGUCUAUGUUCAUUGCAAUUUGCAUCCCAUACUAAACUGCCUUAGGAUUUUUAAAAACUGAAUAAUACAUUCUAAUAUCAAUUAAGGAGACUUUUCAGUGUCUUCACAUGCAGUUAUUUAAGGUUAGAUGUCAUUUCUAAAUGGACUGCAUCUCUGAAGCCCCAACUAUCUUGAUUCCCAUUCCUACUGUUGCAUGUCAUGCUAAAACUUCUCAUUUAUAAUUAAAAAAAUCCUCUCACUUUCCUGGUAUUGGGAAAGCCUGUUGAGUUUUGCAUCUCUGCACAGUGCUGAAUUGCUCAGACUCGUGCUGUGGCAACAAGAGGUUUCCUAACCCUGAAUUUUGUUGACCAUAUGGGAACCAUGGUCAGAAAGUUUAGCCAUUGCCUGUAGAAGAACAUCAAAUUAAUUCUGUUAUCAUCUGGUUUUGGUGAACAGGGACAUCAUAUACUUUGUCUACCCUGGAUCAACAGUUUUGUGUUUUUCAUUUGAUUAUUUUAAGCCCACUAUAUUGUUAAAUCAGAAAUUGUGAAGGGUCUGAGAUUUUAUUCUACAUGCCAGCUAACAAGUUAUCCUGCCAUGGUGUGGUGUGGUAUGUGUGUAUAUGUGUGAGUGAGUGUGUGUGUGUGUGUGUGUGUGUGUGUAUCUAUACUAACAGAAAACAGGAGGCCUCAGAGUCAGAGAUGCACAUAGUUCAUUAUAUACAGCAAAGGCUACAGCUACUUAGCACCAAGUCUUCAAGUCCCAGUCUUUGCAUGGUGAUAUGGUGAGGGUCAGAUGGUAACUGCACAUGUGGUAGGGUGCAUCAUAGGAGAGGGACCCCACAAUAGGGAGGUUCUAAUCUUAUAUAGGGUCUUGGCAACCUGCCAGUGCCUCACUGCCAAAAAGAGAGACCUUACUUUUUCUCUGGAAAGUAAGACAAUCUUCUCUAGGCUGAGAAGAAGACAUCUUAAUCUUUACUACCCUGGAAUGUCUCUGGGGAAGGAUCUUUAAGCUUUACUAUAUUGGCCAGGAAACAAAUCUUUCCUCUAAUAUGAAGGGAUACACUAUUUCUAGUUUCUAAGGAUGUUUGCUAUUCAAACAAUUUCGUGAAGAGAUAGUUUAAGGUAUAUAUAAACUCCAGAUUCAUGGAGAAUUAUCUUUCAGCAUAUAUGUAGGCAACAUCUUUCCCCUAAACAAAUAAAUAAUCAAAAACCAAAAACACAUAAACAUCUGUGGCCCCUCAUGAACUACAGUGUAAAAUCUAAACUUCUUGGCUUGGCAUUUAAGGUUCUUCACUACCUGCCCCCUUUUACAAUUCUCCAUCUUUAAUUUUUUUUUUUGACGUUUUUAUUUAUUUUUGGGACAGAGAGAGACAGAGCAUGAACAGGGGAGGGGCAGAGAGAGAGGGAGACACAGAAUCGGAAACAGGCUCCAGGCUCUGAGCCAUCAGCCCAGAGCCUGAUGCGGGGCUCGAACUCACUGACUGCGAGAUCGUGACCUGGCUGAAGUCGGAUGCUUAACCGACUGCGCCACGCAGGCGCCCCACAAUUCUCCAUCUUUAAUCCUCUGCUUGGACAUAACUGGUCUUCUCGUCAUUGGCUUUUUCCCUCCACAUUGUCUCUCUCUUUAUGGCCUUUAUUCAUAUAUUCUCCUGUUCUUGGCAUGACCUUCCUCCUUUCCUUUCUUUUUUUUAAUGUUUAUUUUUUAUAUUUGAGAGAGAGAGAGAGAGAG